GCAAAUGUAAUUUUUCUUGAUUAUUAAGAAUAAUUUGCUGGAGAUAGACAGUGCCAGUGUAGAGCAGAGGAAAUCCAGACGGGUCAUUUCCAUCUGCCUUGGGACCUGUCUCUACAACUCUGCCACACUC